AAAGACCAAACUUCUCUUCCUCUUACCUUAGCUCUGCCACCACCCUCCGCCACCGGCCGAAAAUUGCCUCUGCCGGCGGUGAUUCACCAAACUUCACCAAAAAUACACCAUAGCCUCCUCCUCUCUUCCUCUUUCCAAAUCUACAAUCGUUUUCCCUCAAAUCCUAGCCAAAUCCAUCGAAUCUUAAAUCAAACAAAGCGGUCAAACCCCAAAAUCCUCCAAACCUGACUUAAAUCACACCCCAUGGCCCCCUCGACCUCACCUUCCCAAAUCCCAAACCAAAACCCUUCAAAUACUCUUUGAACAUUUCGAAUUUUAGAUCUAGGAUUUAGGCAAAGUCGGAGUUGAGGAUUCAAGGGUUUGUGAGUAUUUAAAUGUUUCCAAAGUGAUAUUAUGUGAUUGUUUUGUUAAAGAAUAGACAUAUAAUAUUAUUUAGGGGUCAUAUAUGAAGUCAUUCAAGUAAAAAUCAAAUCUGAGUUUGAAGGUCAAGAUUCAAUCCUAGUUGGUAAGUCCUGGUGUCUUCCAUUCGUUUCUUUCUUCUCUUUCUUUCAUUAGGUGUAGGCUAGGGUUCUGAUUUGAACCCAGGAUUACUUCUUGAGAUUGUUCCCUGUUUAUCGUAGGUCCAUUUAGUUUUCGUUAAUACAUGUUUUAUGUCUUUAAUUUUGUUUCCUGUUUAACUACUUAGUUUUAUUAGUUUAGAUUGAUAAUUCGGUUAGUACUUUUGCCUGUUAUUUGAUUUUCUUUUGUUUGCUAGUAUUUGAUUUUUCUUUUGUUCUUUAUUCAUACUAUUUUUUUGUGUAAUUUUGUUCAUUUCAUAGUUUUUGGUUUGACUGAUAAUGAAUAGUAGUAGUUCAGUUAGUUAAUUCUGAUUAGAGUUUUGUUAUAAUUGGAUUUGGUUAUAGUUGAAUAAUUUGCAGGUUUUUUAAUUGAUCAUGGUUUAAUUUAAAAGGGCUAGGUUAGUUUUGACAUAGGAUAGUAAUUUUAGGGGCAAUUCAAGGUUAGUAUAGUAAGAAUUUCAGUAACUUAGUAGUGUUACUUGGCCAACAAGCCAAUAACUAAGGGAUUAAUUAGCUAAAAUUGAAAAUAAAAGAGGGAUCUAAGAGUGUAAAAUAAAAUCUGCAUGAUGCCUAUAAAGGGGCAGUCUACCCAGUUUAAGAAGUAAAGAUAGACUUGAAAUCCCAAAUCCAAAAAUAAAACCAAAAAAAUAUCUUAAACCUUGAAAGAUGAAAGCUAAUACUGAAAAUCAACAUAAAUCCUAUUGAAUCUUAGAGUUUCUGAGAUUUUAGAGUUCAAAUACUAGAUCUCCAAGCACUACUAGAUCUAAAAUUUCAGUAGUAAAAGUUUCAGAGGUUCUGGUGAUUAUUCGAAGUUUAAACUGGUUUAUUCAAGCUUGUUUAUGGGUGUUUACUGUUGUUGAUUUGUGUGAAAUUACUUCCUGGACUGUUUGACACCAUUUGCUGUGUUUGAAUUUUGUAUUAAGCUGUUGUUGACCGUUAUUUACUGGUGUUGACUCUUCUCUCUUCUUACAUCUCCUUACUUAUACAAUUACACAUUCUGA
rnacentral:lncRNA from 1 species